GACGAACGCUGGCGGCGUGCCUAAUACAUGCAAGUCGAACGCAGUGGGGACGGGUGAGUAACACGUGGGUAACCUCCCAUCAGAGGGGAUAACACUUGGAAACAGGUGCUAAACCGAUACUGAUGGAUGAACCCGCGGUGCAUUAGCUAGUUGGUGAGGUAACGGCUCACCAAGGCCACGAUGCAUAGCCGACGUGGGGGGGUUAGUGGCCACACUGGGACUGAGACGCGGCCCAGACUCCUAGGGGGGGCAUGAGGAGGGAAUCUUCGGCAAUGGACGAAAGUCGGACCGCGCAACUCCGCGUGAGUGAAGAAGGUUUUGGUAUCGUAAAACUCUGUUGUUAGAGAAGCGGUAUCGAACCAGAAAGCCACCGCUAACUACGUGCCAGCAGCCGCGUUAAU
rnacentral:rRNA from 1 species